rnacentral:lncRNA from 1 species
GGUGAAUCCAUACAGGUCUGCAGCAACCUCAAUUCUUGCCUCCUCAGAAGAAAGAAUUCAACUGAGGGAAAGGAAGAAGAAGAGACAGAACCUCCUUGAUCAUGUCCAGACCUGGUGGAUCAGCCCUUGCCACACCCUGAACUAGACCUGUUCACAGAUGGAAGCAGCUUCAUAGACCAUGCAUGUUAUUGUGCUGGAUACACAGCCAUUAUAUCUCAAACACAUUUAUGGGAUAGGUGGAGGUGUAACCUAACCAAACAGAGAGGGCCUCCAAAG